rnacentral:rRNA from 1 species
AGAGUUUGAUCCUGGCUCAGGAUGAACGCUGGCGGCGUGCUUAACACAUGCAAGUCGAACGAACCUUCGGGUUAGUGGCGGACGGGUGAGUAACGCGUGAGAAUCUGCCCUCAGGAGGGGGACAACAGCUGGAAACGGCUGCUAAUACCCCAUAUGCCGUGAGGUGAAAUGAAUUUCGCCUGAGGAUGAGCUCGCGUCUGAUUAGCUAGUUGGUGUAGGUAAUGGCUCACCAAGGCAUCGGUCAGUAGCUGGUCUGAGAGGAUGAUCAGCCACACUGGGACUGAGACACGGCCCAGACUCCUACGGGAGGCAGCAGUGGGGAAUUUUCCGCAAUGGGCGAAAGCCUGACGGAGCAACGCCGCGUGAGGGAUGAAGGCCUCUGGGCUGUAAACCUCUUUUAUCAAGGAAGAAGAUCUGACGGUACUUGAUGAAUAAGCCACGGCUAAUUCCGUGCCAGCAGCCGCGGUAAUACGGGAGUGGCAAGCGUUAUCCGGAAUUAUUGGGCGUAAAGCGUCCGCAGGCGGCCCUUCAAGUCUGCUGUUAAAAAGUGGAGCUUAACUCCAUCAUGGCAGUGGAAACUGUUGGGCUUGAGUGUGGUAGGGGCAGAGGGAAUUCCCGGUGUAGCGGUGAAAUGCGUAGAUAUCGGGAAGAACACCAGUGGCGAAGGCGCUCUGCUGGGCCAUCACUGACGCUCAUGGACGAAAGCCAGGGGAGCGAAAGGGAUUAGAUACCCCUGUAGUCCUGGCCGUAAACGAUGAACACUAGGUGUCGGGGGAAUCGACCCCCUCGGUGUCGUAGCCAACGCGUUAAGUGUUCCGCCUGGGGAGUACGCACGCAAGUGUGAAACUCAAAGGAAUUGACGGGGGCCCGCACAAGCGGUGGAGUAUGUGGUUUAAUUCGAUGCAACGCGAAGAACCUUACCAGGGUUUGACAUCCUGCGAAUCUCUUGGAAACAGGAGAGUGCCUUCGGGAACGCAGUGACAGGUGGUGCAUGGCUGUCGUCAGCUCGUGUCGUGAGAUGUUGGGUUAAGUCCCGCAACGAGCGCAACCCACGUCUUUAGUUGCCAGCAUUUAGUUGGGCACUCUAGAGAGCCUGCCGGUGAUAAACCGGAGGAAGGUGUGGAUGACGUCAAGUCAUCAUGCCCCUUACAUCCUGGGCUACACACGUACUACAAUGCUACGGACAAAGGGCAGCAAGUUCGCGAGGACAAGCAAAUCCCAUAAACCGUGGCUCAGUUCAGAUCGUAGGCUGCAACUCGCCUACGUGAAGGCGGAAUCGCUGGUAAUCGCAGGUCAGCAUACUGCGGUGAAUACGUUCCCGGGCCUUGUACACACCGCCCGUCACACCAUGGAAGUUGGCCACGCCCGAAGCCGUUACUCCAACCCUUGUGGAGGAGGACGUCGAAGGUGGGGCUGAUGACUGGGGUGAAGUCGUAACAAGGUACCG